UUCUCCAUGAGGUUUUGAAAGCUUAGAGGAUGAGAUGGAAAACCAAAGUGAGGCUGAUGAAACAAGUGAGAGCAUGUACAUAUGUGUGUGUAUAUAUAUGUAAGUUGAAUUUAUUUUAUUUGCCUUUUGAGACAAUGAGGAAAGCUCAGCUGUCAAGAAACAGGGAUGCUAAUCCUCAUUCAGUCAUUACUAACAAACUGAGAAUAGAGCAGCUUGAUAUACUAUGAAGAGGAAAAGCACCCUUCUGCUCCAGGACUGCUAACUCUGAAGUACACUACUGACCUUUA
rnacentral:lncRNA from 1 species